GUGCGUAAGUCCGUUCCCAGGAUCUGAGAACAGGUGAAACAAUUAGAUUGAGUCAAACCCUGGGCCACUGAAACUGAGCAUGUGAACUUAACCACUGUGCCACCGGACAGGCCCCUAGAGAUAGCUUUAGUACAGCAUAGACGCUCUAUUAUGAGCACACAAGUCAGGGAUGCCUGGCGGACCUGGAGGUGGGGCUGGGCUGUUGACAAGAAAGGAUUGCGGAGGUUUGAUCACAGAACUGAAUCUUAAAUGAGGAGGAAUUGGUCCAGACAGGAGAUGGGAGAUGGGCCAGAGGGGACAGGAAGCGCUGAGUGAUCCGGUGGCAGGUGAGAGUGGACUGGACCACAGCAGCCGUGAUGGGGUUUGAAGAACUGUUUAGAAAGGAAAGUGGCCAGGAGGUUCAGACGCUGGCUGAUUGGAUAAAAGGAUUAGAAAACAGAGGAAUAGAGAGGGACCCACGUUCAGCUCCAGCACCCUUGGACCAGAUACGAGGGGCCCCCACUUCAGGACCUCUUCCAGCGCUCCUCACAAGGACCUGUGCGGGCUGCCUCCACAGUUCCACCCUCCAGUGAGAAGCGUGCCAUGCUGCAGGCCGAGGGCGGGCAUGUGCACAGAGCUUGGGUGUGCAGACCGUGGGUCCACCGUGAGAGCUCUUGAAGCCCUUCUUAGCUGGAGAACUCCAGGAAGCCGGAGAACUCGAAAUGGGAACGUGGCCUUCCAGAUCUUCAGAAGGUCAUCUAUCAUAGGUGCCACACAGUCACGACUGGACAGCACACUUCUCCGUGCCCUGUCUUUUCACAGAGACAUGCAUGCAGCGUCCAGGGCAGCAUUUUACUCUCAGUGGGCACACCAUAAUUAUUUGUGGACCAAAAAGAGCCCUGUCAUGGUAAGCUGGAAUGGUCUUUCAGGAGUGCUCAGAACAGAACACACAGGUGUGUUCUUCUGGGCUCUCUCCUGUAUCUUCCUAUCCUGUGACAACCGCAACGGCCAAGGAUCAAGAAAGAAAAGAACAAAGGGCUUUGAAUCGCUGACUCCUCGGUGGAAAGAAUCCCAAAGGAUCCAAGGGAAUCCAGUGGGAUGCUCGGUGGUUCCUUAUUUCUGAGGACCUAACAACCUGAGCUAACAUCCUGGCCCUGAGCUAACAUCCGUGCCCAUCUUCCUCUACUUUAUACAUGGGACACUUGCCACAGCAUGGCUUGACAAGUGGUGUGUAGGUCUGCGCCCGGGAUCCAAACCAGGGAACCCCAGGCGACCGAAGCGGAACAUGAAAACUUAACCGCUGUGCCACCGGGCCGGCCCAGUACAGAAAUUCCUAACUUGGGGGUCUGGGAAUCCCUGGGAUGCCCAUGGAUACGCUUUAAGAGCCCCGAAAUCUCUUGAAAAUACAUGUAAAAUUGAGCGUGUGAGUAUAUGUGUGCACAUGAACUGCUGUAAGUUGGUAAUCUGGAGCUUCCAGCAAAUUCUCAAAGGGGCCUGUGACCCAAGAAAAGUAGAUUUGCCCUACCCCAAAUCUCCCAUCUGAAAGGGGAGGAUACUGAGGCCAAGAGAGGGGACAUGAACUGCUGGGUCACAUUAGGGGACAGAUGAAACCCAGGGUCCCUCAGCUUGUGUGGCUGUGUGGGUCACUUCGGUCUGCACAACCUGAAAGGCAGGCCUGGCUCCCCAGGAGGCUGUGUGAGAGGCCACAGCACAGUACCAUCUCUCCUUGCUCCUGGAGAGACAUCUCAAAGGCACGAUGUUCCCUGGGGGUGAGGGUGGGUGCUGAGGUCUGUUCCCACGGAAAACAGAACAAGAGAAAACCAGACCAAAACUGGAAACGAAAGGAAGUCCCUGUCACCGAGAAGCUUGGGCACAUUAGCUGGCCUCAGUUUCCAGAUGUGGAAAUGGAAAUGAUAAUAAUGCUUACAUGUCUAAGUCGUGGGGAAGAUUAAAGGUGAUCAAGUGAGCGGAAACAGCUUACAAAAAGGAAGCUGUACACAAAUGCUGGUGACAAUCACUACAGUGGAGGCCUGGUGAAUAUUGUUGGCUGCUGGGAGGAAAUUGUGGACCACCUGCAUUACCCUAUUCUGGACAACUAUGAAAUUCUCCUGCAGGCCCUUGCAGCCUAAGAGGCCUGGUUUUGGAGUCAAACCUGAACUACAUCUCAGUUCCACCACGGGUGCAUGUGUGUGACCUUGGACAAAUCACUUAACCUCUCUGGGCCUCAGAUUGUUCAUCUGCAAAGUGGGGACACACACCUACCUGAUUGGGACAUUAUGAGGAUUUGAUGAGUUAGUGCAAAUGAAAAUGCCUGUAACGGUGACUGGCAUAUAAAAG
rnacentral:lncRNA from 1 species